rnacentral:rRNA from 1 species
UGCCUUAAGCAUGCAAGUCGAACGGUUUUUUGAGUCGCAAGAUUUAAUUUACAGUGGCGGACGGGUGAGGAUAAGUAAGGAACGUACCCUGAAGUAUCGGAUAGCUCGUCGAAAGACGGGGUAAUACGGUAUGUGAACGCAAGUUCAAAGUCGCAAGACGCUUUAGGAGCGGCCUUAUGCCUAUCAGCUAGUUGGUGGGGUAACGGCCUACCAAGGCUACGACGGGUAGGGGGUGUGAGAGCAUGACCCCCCACAAUGGCACUGAGACACGGGCCAUACAUCUACGGAUGGCAGCAACUGGGAAUAUUCGGCAAUGGACGAAAGUCUGACCGAGCGACGCCGCGUGAGGGAUGAAGGUUUUCGGAUCGUAAACCUC